UAGGGAAUCUUCGGCAAUGGACGAAAGUCUGACCGAGCGACGCCGCGUGAGUGAAGAAGGUUUUCGGAUCGUAAAACUCUGUUGGUAGAGAAGAACGUUGGUGAGAGUGGAAAGCUCAUCAAGUGACGGUAACUACCCAGAAAGGGACGGCUAACUACGUACCAG
rnacentral:rRNA from 1 species